rnacentral:rRNA from 1 species
UGGGGAAUAUUGCACAAUGGGGGAAACCCUGAUGCAGCAAUGCCGCGUGUGUGAAGAAGGCCUGCGGGUUGUAAAGCACUUUUAUCAGGAAAGAACCUGCCUGGGACUAAUAAGCCCAGGCACUGACGGUACCUGAGGAAUAAGCACCGGCUAACUCCGUGCCAGCAGCCGCGGUAAUACCGAGGGGGCAAGCGUUGUUCGGAAUUACUGGGCGUAAAGGGCGCGUAGGCGGCCUGCUAAGUCGAACGUGAAAUCCCUGGGCUCAACCCAGGAACUGCGUCCGAUACUGGUUGGCUUGAAUUCGGGAGAGGGAUGUGGAAUUCCAGGUGUAGCGGUGAAAUGCGUAGAUAUCUGGAGGAACACCGGUGGCGAAGGCGGCAUCCUGGACCGAUAUUGACGCUGAUGCGCGAAAGCCAGGGGAGCAA